AUAUAAUUUCUGCAUUGGUGGAUUGCUUUGGAUAAAACCGUCUGUUAAAUGUUUAUUGCAGUACCCAGACAUCAGAUGAUUCAGGGUCGGAGAAGGACCGGAAUGUCUGCUACCUUAUGUUGAUUAGAAAAGGUAGACUUUUAGAAGAAAGAAGAAAAGGACUCCGGUGCUGUCUGUGAUGUUGAAUAGGUGGUGAGAAUAGUCUGUCUUUUAAAAAGAAGCGCGAUGUGACGGAUUCUGUGAAAAGCUGGGCCUGUAUAAGAGGGGCUUAGAAAUAGUUCAGUUAAAGUUGUAUUUGGUUUGUAGAACUCAAUUACGUGUUUAGCCGUUGUUGGUGUAGGUAGGUUUUGUUUGUAUUCGAAAAAGUGCCUUGGUAUUGCAGAUUCAACUCUUAAUUCAAUUGUUUAUUUGAUGUUGUUACAAGUAAAAUGACAUACAGUAGCCCUACAAAAAUUCCCUGUGUGGAUGGAGAAGAAUUUUCUUAAUUGAGAGACAAGUUCCGCUUAUUAGUAGCAUAUUCGGCAUUGGAUCCUGCAACACCCAGGAAUUGUGUCAAGGAGGAGGUCACGGAACUCUGAAUUCUUGUGAUGAGGAAAUUUGGUGGCAUGGAUUCGAAAAUUAAAACUUUAAGAAGAGAUUUGGGUAAAGCAAAACAUAUGCUAAACAACAUGGAAACUGAAUUGGAGGCAGCAAAGGCAGCUCAGGAUUUUUUGAGAAAUGAUGUCCUUAAUCCUGAGCAAGAAGGAGGUUCCGUUUUGAGAAAUGAUGGCGUUAACUCUGAUCAGGAGGAAGGGUCUGUUGAGGGUGCCAUAUCGACUGUGACAGAGAGGAAGCGGCAUAUUGAAGUUCCAAAAGUAUUUGUUUGAAAAGUUUUACUUAGUUUGUUAUUGUAAUUUCAUAUGUAUAUAGUGUUGUUUUAUAUAAUAAAUAUUUUUGUGAUUUUGUGUUUGUGUUUGGUGAAGUGAGUUUUUGCAGUUUUUUGGUAGGCCUUAUAUGAAAAAUUGCAGUGUUAAAUGUAGUUAUAAUGGACGUUUUUAUUAUAAGGAAUGCCUAACUUGUUUGUGUGAUUUAAAAUGAGUGAAAUAAAAGUAAUUACAA